rnacentral:rRNA from 1 species
GUCUCUUUGAUAGUUUUUAAUAGAGAGUUGGGCCUGCUCGGUGAAUAAUAUUUAACAGCUGCGGUAUUAUAACUGUACUAAGGUAGCAUAAUAAUUUGCCUUAUAAAUUGAGGCUAGAAUGAAUGGUUUGACGAAAAUUAUACUGUCUCUUACUUAUUUAUUAGAAAUUAAUUUUCAUAGUGAAAAAGCUUAAAUAAUUUAAAGGGACGAAAAGACCCUAUUGAGCUUUAUAUUAUUGUUUAAAUUUAUUAUGCUGUUUUUAUUUAAAAUAAUUUUGGUUGGGGUGAUCAAGGAAUAAAAUAUUAAAUUUAUUAACUUCCUUAUUAUAUUUAAAUAUCUAUAUUAAUAAACCAAACUUUUUGCUUAGAAGAUAAGUUACCAUAGGGAUAACAGCGUAAUUUUUUUUGAGAGUUCAUAUUGAGAAAAGAGAUUGCGACCUCGAUGUUGGAUUAAAAUAACCUUAGGGUGUAGAGGCUUUAAUUGGUUAAUCUGUUCGAUUUUUAAAAUUUU